ACGUACACUCCUACGGGAGGCAGCAGUGGGGAAUAUUGCACAAUGGGCGCAAGCCUGAUGCAGCCAUGCCGCGUGUAUGAAGAAGGCCUUCGGGUUGUAAAGUACUUUCAGCGGGGAGGAAGGCGAUAAGGUUAAUAACCUUGUCGAUUGACGUUACCCGCAGAAGAAGCACCGGCUAACUCCGUGCCAGCAGCCGCGGUAAUACGGAGGGUGCAAGCGUUAAUCGGAAUUACUGGGCGUAAAGCGCACGCAGGCGGUCUGUCAAGUCGGAUGUGAAAUCCCCGGCCUCAACCUGGGAACUGCAUUCGAAACUGGCAGGCUAGAGUCUUGUAGAGGGGGGUAGAAUUCCAGGUGUAGCGGUGAAAUGCGUAGAGAUCUGGAGGAAUACCGGUGGCGAAGGCGGCCCCCUGGACAAAGACUGACGCUCAGGUGCGAAAGCGUGGGGAGCAAACAGGAUUAGAAACCCGGGUAGUCCCA
rnacentral:rRNA from 1 species